CCUACGGGUGGCUGCAGUAAGGAAUAUUGGGCAAUGGACGCAAGUCUGACCCAGCCAUGCCGCGUGAAGGAUGAAGGUCCUCUGGAUUGUAAACUUCUUUUAUCUGGGGCGAAAAUCGGGUAUUCUUAUCCGCUUGACAGUACCAGAGGAAUAAGCACCGGCUAACUCCGUGCCAGCAGCCGCGGUAAUACGGAGGGUGCAAGCGUUAUCCGGAUUCACUGGGUUUAAAGGGUGCGUAGGUGGACAGGUAAGUCAGUGGUGAAAUCCCCGAGCUU
rnacentral:rRNA from 1 species